GACGAACGCUGGCGGCGUGCUUAACACAUGCAAGUCGAACGGAAAGGCCCUGCUUGCAGGGUACUCGAGUGGCGAACGGGUGAGUAACACGUGGGUGAUCUGCCCUGCACUUCGGGAUAAGCCUGGGAAACUGGGUCUAAUACCGGAUAUGACCUUCCAUGUAGUGUGGGGGGUGGAAAGAUUUAUCGGUGUGGGAUGAGCCCGCGGCCUAUCAGCUUGUUGGUGGGGUAAUGGCCUACCAAGGCGUCGACGGGUAGCCGGCCUGAGAGGGUGGACGGCCACAUUGGGACUGAGAUACGGCCCAGACUCCUACGGGAGGCAGCAGUGGGGAAUAUUGCACAAUGUGCGGAAGCCUUAUGCAGCGACGCCGCGUGGGGGAUGACGGCCUUCGGGUUGUAAACCUCUUUCGACAGGGACGAAGCUUCGGUGACGGUACCUGUAGAAGAAGCACCGGCUAACUACGUG
rnacentral:rRNA from 1 species